GACGAACGCUGGCGGCGUGCCUAAUACAUGCAAGUAGAACGCUGAAGCGAGGAGCUUGCUCUUCUUGGAUGAGUUGCGAACGGGUGAGUAACGCGUAGGUAACCUGCCUGGUAGCGGGGGAUAACUAUUGGAAACGAUAGCUAAUACCGCAUAAAAUGGAUUAUCGCAUGAUAAUCCAUUGAAAGGUGCAAAUGCAUCACUACCAGAUGGACCUGCGUUGUAUUAGCUAGUUGGUGGGGUAACGGCUCACCAAGGCGACGAUACAUAGCCGACCUGAGAGGGUGAUCGGCCACACUGGGACUGAGACACGGCCCAGACUCCUACGGGAGGCAGCAGUAGGGAAUCUUCGGCAAUGGACGGAAGUCUGACCGAGCAACGCCGCGUGAGUGAAGAAGGUUUUCGGAUCGUAAAGCUCUGUUGUAAGAGAAGAACGAGUGUGAGAGUGGAAAGUUCACACUGUGACGGUAUCUUACUAGAAAGGGACGGCUAACUACGUG
rnacentral:rRNA from 1 species